AUGCCAUGCCCUGCGGAGGAUGCCAGCCAUGCAUGGGACAGACAGCAGGAGGAACGUCUCAAGGAUCAGCCGACGGCAUCAUUAGUCAGAGUCUGUUGGACCUUGCAUGACUGCAUGAUAGGAGUCACUUCAGAUGAUUUGGGCAGGACUUGGCUCCUCAGUGUGGGUUGCUGCUUCCAGCAAGACCUUCCUCAGCUGUUCCAGCUGCCACACACAAACUGCUUCAUCUGCUGUGGAGCACAGAACUGUCCGAUUGGUUGGAGGAAAAAAUAUAUUUCUGCUCAGCUAGCAGCCAGCAUAACUGCUUAACCUGUUUAUGCUGAGGACCUGAGCGGACCCCACUGCACUCUAAGGAGCGAGUCAUGGUCCAACUCCUCGAAAAGAGCAUGUGUGUUGCGGGGGGGUGACGCGGGCCCUAGACACUGCUGUAAUCUGUGAAGAUGCCUGUAACAACCAACACUUUCCCUAAUGAGACCUCAGAAUGUCUUGAUGAUCUUCUCUAAUUGCUCUGUAUAAUUGGAAGAUGCUGCAGCCCCAUUCUCUGGGCUAAGGAUGAGCAUUUCAAAAAUGCUAAUCUGUAAAUUGUGUGAAUACAGCUCUAAUUGGGCUGGGGAGUUUGGUGGGUUUUGUUGUAGUCUUGAUUAUUUAAGGAAGAAAGCAAUGUAAAUCAGUGGCCAGAGAUAUCAAUUAUCAAAUCGCUAACAGGAAGCACAACUGAGCAAAAAACCUGCCUGUAAGGCUGCAUUAAAAUUCUUGUUUGCUGCAGGAUUUUACAGGGGAGUUGGUCUUCCCACUAAAGUGGUCAUCCUUUGGGCUCAUGCAAGGACUUGCGCUGUUAGAAGGGGGCCACCAAUGUUUCUCAGUACUUCACUUGCUCCUGUUAACUGACUGGGUCCCACCAAAGCUCUCACUUUCAGGCACCACACCAGUAACUGGAAAGAUCCUCUGUAGAAGCAGCUUAAAAAAUGCAAACAUUUAUUAAAAACAUGUCACAGCUGUGUGAGGCUGCUGUCUUGGGCUACAAAGGAGGUGGACAGGGAUCCCAUUGCCCAGGAGCCAUCUCCCCUGUUGUCUCUGGGCCCGAGGGAGUGAGUUUUUCUCCCCAGCAUCCCAAGCAGACUGAGCCACUUCGGAAGCACAGCCCUAUCCCCUGAUAUGCAUGAACUGCCAGGAGAGGACAGGGGACACAGGGUCUGCCUUCGUGCUGCUGUUUUUCCAGCUCCCAGUGGUAGGUACAGCCACUGUUCCCCUUUCCCCUUUGGGCUUCACAUCAAAGGGGUGCCUGUGGCAGCAGUAGCCUCAGGUGGUGCCUGCAGAGCCACCAGCAGCUCUGGGAAUCAGUGCUGUGGAAAGGAUGACAAGUGAGGCCAAAAAGUUAAUGGAAAGGUCAGACAGUCCAAUUUUACUUUUUUUUUUCCUCUCAGUCUUUCCAACCAGGACAAGGAUGAUUAAUUCAAAGCCAAUGUUGUAAAAGUUACAUUUGCUUUUUCUUCUCUCCUGUUUUCCAAGUUGAGCUCCCUGUACAGGGCAAGGUUUUGCAUCCCUUGAGAAGUGCACAAUGAGAUGCCCUUGGCUGGCAUCCAGGGAUUUAGCUGAGUCUGAAGGACAGUGUAUCAGCCUCCCUCUCUAGCCCACCCCUCUGCCUCUGCCUGCCAUAGCAGAAACAGCCAGCAAAUACAAUUUUGGGCAGCUCCCCAGAGUUGUCACAAUAAACUGGGCUAUGUUCAGUCA
ensembl:lncRNA